rnacentral:piRNA from 1 species
UUUAUGAGUUGGUGGUGUGAG